AGAGGAAGUAAAAGUCGUAACAAGGUUUCCGUAGGUGAACCUGCGGAAGGAUCAUUAUUGAAAAUGAAUCUAGAGUUGGCUGCUGCUGGCCCUUCCGGGGGCAUGUGCACGCCUUCUCUUUUUCAUCCCACACACACCUGUGCAUCUGUAAGACGGGGGGGUCUCAUUUAAUUAUGGACCUGUUCGUCUAUUAAACUACACAAAAUCUAUUUAAUUUAAACCGAAUGUAAUUGAUGUAACACAUCAUUUAAAACUAAGUUUCAACAACGGAUCUCUUGGCUCUCGCAUCGAUGAAGAACGCAGCGAAAUGCGAUAAGUAAUGUGAAUUGCAGAAUUCAGUGAAUCAUCGAAUCUUUGAACGCACCUUGCGCUCCUUGGUAUUCCUUGGAGCAUGCCUGUUUGAGUAUCAUGAAAUUCUCAAAGCAAGUCUUUUGUUAAUUCAAUUGGCUUUUGCUUUGGACUUGGAGGUUUUUGCAGAUUUUCACAAUCUGCUCCUCUUAAAUUCAUUAGCUGGAUCUCAGUAUAUGCUUGGUUCCACUCGGCGUGAUAAGUAUCACUCGCUGAGGACACCUUAAAAAAGUGGCCAGGAAAUGCAGAUGAACCGCUUCUAAUAGUCUAUUUAAUUAGACAAUACUCUAUGAUCUGAUCUCAAAUCAGGUAGGACUACCCGCUGAACUU
rnacentral:rRNA from 1 species